AAUAGGGCUGUGAAGAGAAAUAGUAAAGUCGUAUCGACUUAAGAGAGCUUUCGUUUGGUGCAAGAAAGUGUCGUAAAACUUGAAUCCGUCUCGGAGUCAUACAUUUAAAGAGGAUUCGAAAGAAUCAAAUUGGGUGGCAACGCGGUUAAACCGUCCCUUUA
rnacentral:ncRNA from 1 species